GCCGGGCGCGGUGGCGUGCGCCUGUAGUCCCAGUUACUUGGGAGGCUGAGGCAAGAGAAUCACUUGAACCCGGGAGGCGGAGGUUGCAGUGAGCCGAGACUGUGUCACUGCACUCCAGCCUGGGUGACAGAGUGAGACUCUGUCUCGA
rnacentral:SRP_RNA from 1 species